GGUCAAGGAUCUUCUCGUUGGACAGACUAUGCGUUAAACAUAACUGAACAUAACCCAUCGUUAACUUAAAAAACUAAAUUCAACAUAUCAUUUUAAGCACAAAUAUGAGUAGAAAAGAAGCACUUUCUACAUUUAUUCAGCAAAUUCAUGCCAGACCAGUUGUGGUUAAACUCAACAGUGGGGUAGACUACAGAGGUGUUUUGGCUUGUUUAGAUGGCUACAUGAAUAUUGCUUUAGAACAGACCGAAGAGUAUGUUAAUGGUCAGUUAAAAAACAAAUUUGGAGAUGCAUUCAUAAGAGGAAAUAAUGUUCUAUACAUUAGUACACAAAAAAGGCGAUAUUAACUAAAGAUUAAUUUACUUAAUGUUAAGAUAUAUACAUACAAAUAAACUUAUGAGGUAAAUACAUUAUUUUAUUAA